CUCUGUCUCAUUCCUCCGCUUGGCUUUGUUUGACGUCUUCCGAGAUGCAGGAAUACUACUAAAGUUGCCCGUUCCGGGCUGCCACAAAGACGACAGCAGUUAUUUAAUAUGAUCCACUUGGCACUUGAAUCACCUACUUGACUGCCAGAAAAGGCAUUUCCUGUCCCUUAUGCAGGUCAAAGGGCAGCAUGGCACAAGCUGGUAAAAGAGCAGCAUGGCACAAGAUGAUUUCAAGAACCCUGUUGGAAGAAUGGAACAAUCACUGCUUGAUUAUGGUUGCCAAGAAAGCGGGAGUCAGUGGAAAAUAUCACAUUAGGAGGUAGCCCUACCCCUCCAUGCAGGUGCCACCAGCAAACAUGGUUGAGUUGAAGCAUACCUGGAUAUUACCUGGCUGACCUUGGUAUUAAAGCAGAAGAGUGCCCAUGCUGAACAGACAUCAGUGGAUCAUAGUUGCCAGACAUAGAUAUUUUUCCACUACUGACAGGAUAUACCAUGGAAAUUCCGCUCGUGUGUACUUUGUUGUACACCACAGAUGGGCACCACAUUACACACGCAGGCAUGGCAGGAGAUGCUGAGUGAAAGAGGCGCUCUGCACUACUUGAGGUGGUGGAGGCGGCAAUGCUUUGCUCAAGGACACCUAGACAAUGCCAACAAAGCAGACUCUCUAUCACAUUUACACCGUGUAGCCAUUUGUCUGUGGUAGGACUUGAUGUUGUUAGAGUUGAGUUUUAUUUAAAAUACAGUUUUAUUAGAAUUGUACUUUUAUUUACAUUUUAAUUUGACUCUAUCAAAAUUUUACAGCUUUGAUUGCAUUGAACAUUAAAUGUGAAUGUACACUUGCGCAACAAUGCAGGGGCCUCUGUUACAGCCAACCCACUCACUGAUCCUGAACCAGCAGACUGCUGAGGCCAAAUUGAAAGUUUUUUUUUUAAGUUUACCUUGUAUGAGAUGAAUAAAAGUGUUUAUUUUAAA